rnacentral:sRNA from 1 species
GAACAUGUUGUCCAUUGGGCCAGGGUUCAGAUGCUGGCUUUGCCACUAACUGUGUAUCCUCCGAUGAGGAGCUUAACUCCUCAAUGCCUGUGUUUUACUUAUGUGCAAAAUGAGGAUUCUAACCCUUGCCGCCCAGGACUCAGGAUACAACUGAUGCAGUAUGUCAUCUAUGGAAUUGCAUCCUUUUUCUUCUUGUAUGGGAUCAUUCUGUUGGCAGAAGGCUUUUACACCACAAGUGCAGUGAAAGAACUGCACGGUGAGUUUAAAACAACUGCCUGUGGCCGAUGCAUCAGUGGAAUGUUCGUUUUCCUCACCUAUGUGCUUGGAGUGGCCUGGCUGGGUGUGUUUGGUUUCUCAGCGGUGCCCGUGUUUAUGUUCUACAACAUAUGGUCAACUUGUGAAGUCAUCAAGUCACCGCAGACCAACGGGACCACGGGUGUGGAGCAGAUCUGUGUGGAUAUCCGACAAUACGGUAUCAUUCCUUGGAAUGCUUUCCCGGGAAAAAUAUGUGGCUCUGCUCUGGAGAACAUCUGCAACACAAACGAGUUCUACAUGUCCUAUCACCUGUUCAUUGUGGCCUGUGCAGGAGCUGGUGCCACCGUCAUUGCCCUGGUGAGUAAUGGCCCCAAGACCACCCUAGUCUAGCCUCCUCCCUCCAGCCUCUAAAUGACAGAUUUCCCUUC